AGCGAACGCUGGCGGCAGGCCUAACACAUGCAAGUCGAACGAACUCUUCGGAGUUAGUGGCGGACGGGUGAGUAACACGUGGGAACGUGCCUUUUGGUUCGGAAUAACUCAGGGAAACUUGUGCUAAUACCGAAUGUGCCCUUCGGGGGAAAGAUUUAUCGCCCUUAGAGCGGCCCGCGUCUGUUUAGCUAGUUGGUGAGGUAACGGCGCACCAAGGCGACGAUCAGUAGCUGGUCUGAGAGGAUGACCAGCCACACUGGGACUGAGACACGGCCCAGACUCCUACGGGAGGCAGCAGUGGGGAAUCUUGCGCAAUGGGCGAAAGCCUGACGCAGCCAUGCCGCGUGAAUGAUGAAGGUCUUAGGAUUGUAAAAUUCUUUCACCGGGGACGAUAAUGACGGUACCCGGAGAAGAAGCCCCGGCUAACUUCGUG
rnacentral:rRNA from 1 species